GAGGUUUUUCUGUUAGGUGACCUGCGGAGGAUCAUUA
rnacentral:rRNA from 1 species